rnacentral:rRNA from 1 species
AGAGUUUGAUCAUGGCUCAGAACGUACGCUGGCGGCACGCCUAACACAUGCAAGUCGAACGCAGUAGCAAUACUGAGUGGCAAACGGGUGAGUAUAAUGUGGGAAUCUGCCUUUUGGUUUGGAAUAACACGGGGAAACCUGUGCUAAUACUGGAUAAGUCUUUACGGAGAAAGCUUUAUGCACCAUUGGAUGAGCCCGCACUUGAUUAGUUUGUUGGUGGGGUAAUGGCCUACCAAGACUUUGAUCAAUAGCUGAUUUGAGAGGAUGAUCAGCCACAUUGGGACUGAGACACGGCCCAAACUCCUACGGGAGGCAGCAGUGGGGAAUCUUGCACAAUGGAGGAAACUCUGAUGCAGCGAUGCCGCGUGAGUGAAGAAGGCCCUUGGGUUGUAAAGCUCUUUCGUCGGGGAAGAAAAUGACUGUACCCGAAUAAGAAGGUCCGGCUAACUUCGUGCCAGCAGCCGCGGUAAUACGAAGGGACCUAGCGUAGUUCGGAAUUACUGGGCUUAAAGAGUUCGUAGGUGGUUGAAAAAGUUGGUGGUGAAAUCCCAGAGCUUAACUCUGGAACUGCCAUCAAAACUUUUCAGCUAGAGUUUGAUAGAGGAAAGCAGAAUUUCUAGUGUAGAGGUGAAAUUCGUAGAUAUUAGAAAGAAUACCAAUUGCGAAGGCAGCUUUCUGGAUCAUUACUGACACUGAGGAACGAAAGCAUGGGUAGCGAAGAGGAUUAGAUACCCUCGUAGUCCAUGCUGUAAACGAUGUGUGUUAGACGUUGGAAAUUUAUUUUCAGUGUCGCAGCGAAAGCGAUAAACACACCGCCUGGGGAGUACGACCGCAAGGUUAAAACUCAAAUGAAUUGACGGGGACCCGCACAAGUAGUGGAGCAUGUGGUUUAAUUCGAAGAUACGCGCAGAACCUUACCAACACUUGACAUGUUCGUCGCGACUUUAAGAGAUUAAAGUUUUCGGUUCGGCCGGACGAAACACAGGUGCUGCAUGGCUGUCGUCAGCUCGUGUCGUGAGAUGUUGGGUUAAGUCCCGCAACGAGCGCAACCCUCACUUUUAGUUGCCAUCAUUUAGUUGGGCACUCUGAAAGAACUGCCAGUGAUAAGCUGGAGGAAGGUGGGGAUGACGUCAAGUCCUCAUGGCCCUUACGUGUUGGGCUACACACGUGCUACAAUGGUAUCUACAACAGGAAGCGAAACAGCGAUGUUGAGCAAAUCCUUAAAAGAUACCUCAGUUCGGAUUGCACUCUGCAACUCGACUCCAUGAAGUUGGAAUCGCUAGUAAUCGUGAAUCAGAAUGUCACGGUGAAUACGUUCCCGGGCCUUGUACACACCGCCCGUCACAUCAUGGGAGUGGGUUCUACCUUAAGGCAAGGUUUAAUACCCUUGACCACGGUAUAGUCAGCGACUGGGGUGAAGUCGUAACAAGGUAACCGUA